GCACAGGGAGCAUUUCCUGGACAACGAGAUCGACGGCAGUCACCUGCCCUCCCUCACCAAGGAGGACUAUCUGGACCUGGGGGUGACGCGUGUCGGACAGCGCAUGAACAUCGCCCGCGCUCUGAAGAGAGUGACUGACAGGCUCUCCAGUUCUCCUUUUCCCAUUUCUGCUCUGUCACCACGAGGAAGAAGGGAUGAUGGGAGUCGGAGCUGAGAAGACAAACAGAAAGAGAAAGGAGGGGGGAUGGAGUCAGUGAGGGAACAGGAGAGAGAGAGGCCACAACUGCUGCUAUCCAUGAGGGAUUCACACAACAAAAGCAGAGAACCUGAUUUCACCUAGAGGGAGGACCGAUCAGGAAAAGCGAGGGGAAAUGAAGGAUGGAACAAGGGCUGACCAAUGCCUGGUACUCAGGGCCUGGUAGCUGACUCACACAGAUACACUCGCAUGCACACAAAUACAGUAACACACACAAGCACUGACUCUAAUGUCAACACACACACACAAACACUAUGAGGAUGGAAUGACUGAAUGUACAUUGAGGCAACAAAUAACAAUAGGAGUAAAAUAGUGACAAAACUUAGCCCAAAAUAUUGAGAGAAACAAUCAAAUGUUGUUUAUCUUUUUCAUCUGAGCAGUUCAUAGUGUUGUUGGGGUAAGAGAGAAUGAGGAUUGUCCUCAUUAUUAACACUAGUUAGAGCUUUCUCCACCUGUCUUCUCUGGGUAGCUGUAGUUCCUCCUCUCUACCCUAGGGUUAGGUAGCUCCUCCUCUCUACCCUAGGGUUAGGUAGCUCCUCCUCUACCCUAGGGUUAGGUAGCUCCUCCUCUCUACCCUAGGGCUAGGGUUAGGUAGCUCCUCGUCUCUACUCUAGGGUUAGGUAGCUCCUCGUCUCUACCCUAGGGUUAGGGUUAGGUAGCUCCUCCUCUCUACCCUAGGGUUAGGUAGCUCCUCCUAUCUACCCUAGGGUUAGGUAGCUCCUCCUCUCUACCCUAGGGUUAGGUAGCUCCUCCUCUCUACCCUAGGAUUAGGUAGCUCCUCCUCUCUACCCUAGGAUUAGGAAGUACCUCCUCUCUACCCUAGGGUUAGGUAGCUCCUCCUCUCUACCCUAGGGUUAGGUAGCCCCUCCUCUUUACCCUAUGGUUAGGUAGCUCCUCCUCUCUACCCUAGGGUUAGGGUUAGGGUUAGGUAGCUCCUCCUCUCUACCCUAGGGUUAGGUAGCUCCUCCUCUUUACCCUAGGGUUAGGGUUAGGCAGCUCCUCCUCUCUACCCUAGGGUUAGGUAGCUCCUCCUCUCUACCCUAGGGUUAGGUAGCUCCUCCUCUCUACCCUAGG